AUGUUGAUGAUGGGGGAUUAUUCUAGUCGUGAUUUGUUGGUGCGGCAAGCGGAAUCGAUGAGGCCUCUCCGAUUGGACGUUCGAGAGCCACUGAAGAUAUGCUGCUGCCCUUCCCAUGUGACAGCUGACCUGUGACCACUGUCCCCAACAAGGCCAUUGAGACCACAGGACCCCAGGACACCCAUCUAGGUAGUGGCCUGUAUCUAUAUUGACAUGGUUCCACUUGGCUGGUGGACACGAUCAGAAGUAGAUUGCAAACUGCUCCAGAGAUGAUCUGCACUGUAUCAGACCCAAGCAGUCCUACAAAACCAGAAAGCCCUGGACUUACUGAUGUGAGCCAGCCCAGAAGUCUCUUCAGUUGGGUCAGCAAACCAUAUGCUUCUGGUGAGUGCCUUACUGUCCUAAUUUCCUCCCCUACUCUGGCUAAUAGUCCAGCCUUC
rnacentral:sRNA from 1 species